ensembl:lncRNA
CUCUUUUCUCCACUGAGUUUCCUCACUGAGCUAUCCUCAUUCUAUUACUCUUUAUAUCUUUGAUAAAUAUUUAAAUAAAUAGGUCGCCUAUGCCAUCUCUCCUUCGAAUACCCUGGAUCAGCCGGGGCUAGACCCCGGCACAGCGCUCUCUGUAUUUGACUCUGCUUUGCCUGAUUUCAUCGUCCAGAAUGCUAAACUGCUAUCUACCUAAUCUUCAAGGGGUGACUUGCUCUGUGCUUCCACUACCAGCCACUUCCUUACUAGCUGAAUUCUCCAGAAUUCAACUAAGCUGCAUGCAAGCGAAGACCAGGGAAAACUCUCUGAGCUUAUCCUAACAAGGGAACAGCUCCGCCCCUCAUACACAGACAGCUGCUAUAUUCCUACUGACAUCAACACAAAUCACAUGGGCUUAUCUUUAUGGAAAAAAAAAAGUUUUAAUCCCUCAGGUUCCAUAAACUGUAUAGCAACCAAGUUCCCUCUCCUAGGCUCCAAGCUGCCCAGCCUCCCACCUGUAGACUCAAAACACCACCAGGUUUGGAGACUCAUGGCAGCCCACUCCAGUCCUCUUGCCUGGAAAAUCCCACGGACGAAGGAGCCUGGCGGGUUACAGUCCCUGGGGUCGCAGAGAGUCGGACAGGACUGAGCGACUUCACUUUCACUUUCCGAGACUCAUGCCAAAACGUCCGCACGGAACCCUUCUCUCAGAACUGCAUCGCGCCUGAUUUCCUGCCGGUGCCAUGUUCCUCUGUGACUUUGAUGGC